rnacentral:rRNA from 1 species
GCUUGUCUCAAAGAUUAAGCCAUGCAUGUCUAAGUAUAAACGACUUUAUACUGUGAAACUGCGAAUGGCUCAUUAUAUCAGUUAUAGUUUAUUUGGCGAUAAAAACUACUUGGAUAACCGUAGUAAUUCUAGAGCUAAUACAUGCAUCAUCCCCCAUCUCGGGGUGUAUUUAUUAGAUGGAAACCAAUGCGGGGCAACCCGGAAUAUGGUGAUUCAUAAUAACUUUCGGAUCGUUUACGAUGCAUCAUUCAAGUUUCUGCCCUAUCAGCUUUGGAUGGUAGGGUAUUGGCCUACCAUGGCUUUAACGGGUAACGGAGAAUUAGGGUUCGAUUCCGGAGAGGGAGCCUGAGAAAUGGCUACCACAUCCAAGGAAGGCAGCAGG